GUUUGCUCAUUCAUUUGGAACAAGGAGAGGUUUAUCUGGGCCUGGCUGGAUGGGUGGGUGGGUGGUAGUGAUCUCCUUAGCACUCUGCCUGUGCCUGUUAAAAGCCCCUCGGAUCUGUGCUGGGCCUGGCCACUCUGUGGACACCCUUGCCAAGCUCCACCUUUAGCUGGCAUGUCCGUGCUCUUGGGCUUCUCUCUGACCAGUUCUGGAGGCUGGGAAGUCCAAGGGCGAGGGGCUGGCAUCUGGUAAAGGCCUUCUUGCCACACCAUUCCAUGGGGGAAGAUGGAAGAGCAAGAGGACACACAGCAAGAGACAGCUAAAUUCAUUUUUACAACACAUGCUCAUGAUAACGAACCCACUCUGAUAAUGACAUUAAUGCAUUCAUCAAGGCAGAACCCUCAUGGCCUAAUCGCUUCUUAAUGGUUCCACCUCUUAAUACCAUCACAAUGGCAAUUAAAUUUCAACAUGAAUUUUGGAGGGAACAUCCAAACCAGAGCACUGUUGACUGAG
rnacentral:lncRNA from 1 species